CAGCCUAAUACAUGCAAGUCGAGCGGACAGAAGGGAGCUUGCUCCCGGAUGUUAGCGGCGGACGGGUGAGUAACACGUGGGUAACCUGCCUGUAAGACUGGGAUAACUCCGGGAAACCGGAGCUAAUACCGGAUAGUUCCUUGAACCGCAUGGUUCAAGGAUGAAAGACGGUUUCGGCUGUCACUUACAGAUGGACCCGCGGCGCAUUAGCUAGUUGGUGAGGUAACGGCUCACCAAGGCGACGAUGCGUAGCCGACCUGAGAGGGUGAUCGGCCACACUGGGACUGAGACACGGCCCAGACUCCUACGGGAGGCAGCAGUAGGGAAUCUUCCGCAAUGGACGAAAGUCUGACGGAGCAACGCCGCGUGAGUGAUGAAGGUUUUCGGAUCGUAAAGCUCUGUUGUUAGGGAAGAACAAGUGCAAGAGUAACUGCUUGCACCUUGACGGUACCUAACCAGAAAGCCACGGCUAACUACGUGCCAGCAGCCGCGGUAAUACGUAGGUGGCAAGCGUUGUCCGGAAUUAUUGGGCGUAAAGGGCUCGCAGGCGGUUUCUUAAGUCUGAUGUGAAAGCCCCCGGCUCAACCGGGGAGGGUCAUUGGAAACUGGGAAACUUGAGUGCAGAAGAGGAGAGUGGAAUUCCACGUGUAGCGGUGAAAUGCGUAGAGAUGUGGAGGAACACCAGUGGCGAAGGCGACUCUCUGGUCUGUAACUGACGCUGAGGAGCGAAAGCGUGGGGAGCGAACAGGAUUAGAUACCCUGGUAGUCCACGCCGUAAACCGAUGAGUGCUAAGUGUUAGGGGGUUUCCGCCCCUUUAUGCUGCAGCUAACGCAUUUAAGCACCUCCGCCUGGGGGAGUACGGUCGCAAGGACUG
rnacentral:rRNA from 1 species